UUCCUUCUUCUUUAACAAAGCCAGAAGAAAAUUUUGCAUCGCCUCCGUCACUCCCACACCACCAUCUCCAUCGCUCCAUCACCACCACCAUCGUGAUCGCCUCCACCACAACCAGCACCACCACCUCCAUCACGCCUGCAACUACUAUUAACAGGUUAAAGGUUGAUUUUCUAUCAUUGAUCCAAUUUCUUAUUAAUUGUUCUUCUAGGUUAAACAUUUGAUUUUCGAAUCCAGAUUUAGACAUCGUUCUGUCUUUUUGUUUUUCUCGAUUUUAUAUUUUCGAGUUGGAGAUUCACACUAAUGAUUACGUUUUCAAUUUUCAGAUCUGAAAAAUUGAUGAUAUGGUUUGAGAUUUUUAAAGAUAGAUCGAUGUAAUCUAUAAUAGAAAUCGACAUGAUGAUUAGAUCGAAAGGUGAACAAAUCGAUUAGGUGUUUUCAUUUUUUAUGAUUUUGAUUCAAUAAACUUCAGCAAAAUCAAAAUUUUAAGUGUUUACUGUAAUUUAGUUGAUUUCAAGUGUUUACAGUGAUUUAGUUGAUUUCGAAUCCCUAAUGUUGGAUUUCAUUUUUUUGCAGAUUGAUAAUAGAUUCAUCGAAUUGAUUAUGCUUUAAUUCUUUAUUUUGAUUGUAUUGACUCAUUGAAGUAGAGUCGAACGGGAUUUUUUAUUAGAUCUUCAAAUUGUUAUUUGGAUAUGUGUCUGGUGAUAGAGUAGUAUCAUUUUUUGUGAUGGUGGUAUUGGUGUUGCGUGUGUAGUAAUGUUGAUUGGAUUUAGUUCUUGUUUUGAUUAUAAUUGGUGAUUGGAAGAGGUGAAAUUGGUGGGGUUCUGAAGUUGGUGAGCGUGUAAAUUAGUGGGAUUAGUAAAGUUGGUUGACAAGGGUGGAUUUUAGAGGUGGUGUUGGUUAUGGAAUUGGAGUUGGAGGUGAUUUUUGUUAAUGUAAAUUGUUGGUAGUAGUGGACUUGAUGGUGGCGGAGAUAUUAGAAGGUAACGCUGGUGGAAACAUAGGAUUAGGUGGUGGAGCAGAGGUACUUCUCUGGUGGUGAUGGAAUGGGUAGAGGUUUGGUGGUGCAUGUGGUAGAUGAGAGGUGGAGGGGGUGCUAGUGGUGGAAUCGGGUAGGUGGUGAGGUUGGAUUAUUGUAGUAAUUCAAGAUUUAGUGAUGGAGGAUUUGGUGAAGGUUUAUGAUCUAUAUUUUGAUACUGGAUCAACUAAUUGGAAGACAAACAUGCUCACAUCCUUAUUGCUAAUGGUGCUUCUGACUGUUGAUCUAUACGUGCUUCAUCAUUGCUGCUGGAGUACCUUAAAAACUGUGUUGCUGCUUGCUAUUUGACUGUCAGAAAUUGUGCAUUUGACUGAUGCCAGGACUUUUAUUUCAGUGAACUGAAUGAAUAACUUAAACACUAUUCCCAAGAGCAUAACGGAGUUGAUAAGGAUGGCUAACCAGUUUUUGCAUUUGGAUUCUCUUCUAUAUAUUUUCAGCAAUGCUGGAGGUAGUGGAUGUCGCAGUGGAGGUGGUUUGUUGUGUUAGCAAUUAGUGAUGGUAGUGGAUGUUGCAGUUGUGGUGGGGGUAGUUGCGGGAGACAAUAUUAACUUAUGUUGGAGGUGGUUUGUUGUGUUAGCAGUUGGUGAUGGUAGUUGGAUGCGCGUGAACUACUAGGUAUGUAUGGGUUACAGGCCAUGAACAUCUGUAUGGUUUUAUACAUCAAUAGGUGUACUAUAUCUAUUUUUGGAUGUGAUUUUGAUAUUUCAUUUUGCAUUAACGAACCUGUGGUGCAUCGUUAGCACGACUGACUCCAUAUCAGAUGAUGUGUGUUCGACUCACGCCAGGUUCACUUUUUUGUGUAUACUUUUCCUUUGUAGACAAUUUGAGCUAGUUGGCUCCAUUUUUGUUUUGCAACUUAUUCCUGCACACUA